AAAAAAACAAAUCUCAGCCUUCCAUUUAAAGUUUAGAAUCGUAAUUCCUAACCGUCGGAUCAAGGUGUAUAAAGAUAUUUAUCCCAAUCAUGUUUCUCAUCUCUGUAACCCUAAUUAGUAAAUACUCGACAUUUCUUCUAAAAAAAAAAAAAAUAGACGUUUCUUUCUUCAACGAUACGCCACUUGCUCUGUCUUCAGGUUCCUCUUUUUGUCUCCUUUUUCCUUACCUCUGACACCCUAGCCCCGAACACCACAUAACAGCCGCUACUCCAGCUUCACCUAUCGCUUCAAUGCCUGGUCUUUGGAGUUCCCAUCUCCCUCAAGCUCUUCAUUUAGGGUUCUUACGAGAUUCUGAUUCAAUGUUUUCACACUUGUCGCAGAAUCUCGUCAGAAACCUAAUGGAGAGCUUCACCUACAUUCUCUUUACUUUGUUUCUGUCUUUGAUUCUCUGAUUAAGGAUACUAAGAAGAAGAAUCGUUUUUCUCCUCUCUGAUAUGAAUGUCCACUACAACUGUUUCUGAUCAAUCUCUGCUCUUUGAUUUGGAUUCCGCUAAAACAUAGUGAGUUUUCUACCCUCCCUUAUUUUAUUUUGUUAUUUUCUGAUUUUUUUUUUUUUUUUGGGUUUACAAGCAUAGUUUGGCAUUUUAUCAUUCUGUGGUUGGUCUGCGUAAAGUAAUUUUUUGAAUAAUUGGAUCCAAAUGAUUUUCUUAUUUCAUUCAUUAUUAAAUGGGUAUGUUUGGGAUAUUUCAAUUAAUAAGAGUUAGGCAAAUACUAGUUGAGACUUGAAAUAAAUAUAAAAAUAGGUGAAUUAGCUUAUGGAAUUACUUUAUGGUGCCUAUUCAGGCGAAUUCUUGCUUUUUCUUGUUUGUCUUCUAUUUUGUUUUCCAAUUUUUUUUUUUUUUUUUAAUCUUCAGGAGGACAUGAAACUUCCAGGAGAAUAGUUCCAAAAUAACUGGCAAUAACAAAAUUAGUUAUCGUACUUUUAUUUCAUUUAUCUAUUCCUGCGAUUGUCAAAUACUCUAAUUUUUUUUUCAAUGCUAAACCCUAAAGCCUUCUUUUUCAAAAAAAAAAAAGAGUAAAAAAACUUGAUAUGAUUCAAUUAUUUUUAUGAACAAAAAAAUUUGUGUUGUUUUUAAGUGAUGAAUUUGCAUUAUUUGUUUUUAUUGGGCAUAUUUAAUUGGUUCUCCAUGUUAUUGUGAAUAUCAUUUUCCUUCAUCAAAUUUUGUUAUUUCCAAAAACUUUUUGCAUUUGGUUUAACUAUGAUGCCUAAUUAUAUGAUUGAUAUGUAUUUUGCCUUUUCACAACUUAUCUAUUUGUAUGGGGGGAACAAAAAUCUCUUCCUAUCCCCUCGACUUCUUACUGUACAUGAUAUAAUUUCAGCCCAAAAAAAAAGGAAAAAAAAAAAAUCAACAAGAAGCUCCAUCUUUAAUUGUAUUUUUAUCAGUUGUAUCCUUGCUGAAAGUUGAUCAAAUUAUUGAAAAUUUACGAUUUUGGCAUUUGUUUGAGCAAUUGAAUUUUAUGUGCUUACAGUGGUCUCUUUGAAUUUGGGUGGGCUUUUUUUUUACUAUUUUUUAGGGUUUUAAUUGUUACUCUCAUUGGAUAGGUUCUUUAAGAGAGUAAGAGAAAUGCAACAUGCUAUUGGGGUUGAUAUCUAUUUUUAGAUUAUUUAAUAUUUUAGUCUAAUAUAAUUUCUGGAUAAUGUUGACUUGGGAAGCUUCUGCGGUCGAGAACGACUUGGUAGAUUGAAGAAUAUUUAAACUUAAUUUCCCCUCUCUCUAGCCCCCAAUGUUAAUUAUUUUUAGCUGGUUAUUUACUUAUGACUAUAGAACAUUUACGUAGCAAUAUUUUUGUCUUUUAAUUUCAUCUGUGAUAUUUUCGCAAGUUUAUCAGUGAAUUUUUCCCCCCAUUUUAUGCUCGACUUCAUUUUGAAUUUUUAUAGUGGCAAAGAUGAAAAGGUGAAAGAUUAAAACUCUGUGAAUUUUGAAGUUCUUUUCGAUUACAUGUGUUCUUCAUGGUUAAAUUUAUUAAAUGUUGUGUAAUAAUUAACUUACUCACUCUUUUUAUAUUUAAUAUUUCUGUUGCCUGUAGCAUUACCUGGCUAAUUUGCAAGUUUCUUAUUAAUGCUACUACUAAAUUUUUAGCGUCUGUGUUGAGAGAACAGAGGGAACAAGAUCUAUUAUUGGCUUUUUGAAUAAUGUGAUUAGACCAUCUGGACUUGUCGCUUUCUA